CCUACGGGUGGCUGCAGUGAGGAAUAUUGGUCAAUGGACGAGAGUCUGAACCAGCCAAGUCGCGUGAAGGAUGACUGCCCUAUGGGUUGUAAACUUCUUUUAUAUGGGAAUAAAAUGUUCCACGUGUGUGAUUUUGUAUGUACCAUAUGAAUAAGGAUCGGCUAACUCCGUGCCAGCAGCCGCGGUAAUAUGGAGGAUCCGAGCGUUAUCCGGAUUUAUUGGGUUUAAAGGGUGCGUAGGUGGAUGGUUAAGUCAGUGGUGAAAGCGUGCGGCUCAACCGUAGAAUGGCAGUUGAUACUGGCAGGCUGGAGUACAGUAGAGGUGGGCGGAAUUCGUGGUGUAGCGGUGAAAUGCUUAGAUAUCACGAAGAACUCCGAUUGCGAAGGCAGCUCACUGGACUGCAACUGACACUGAGGCUCGAAAGUGUGGGUAUCAAACAGGAUUAGAUACCCCAGUAGUC
rnacentral:rRNA from 1 species